GCAGCGCAAGGCAGUUCCAGCCCCAGAGUGUCACCAAGUUGAGAGUCUGGUCGAGGGAGGUCCGGUGCUGAUUUCAUGUUUCUAGAAUAGAAAGCGCCAACGAAAAUCGGCUGCAAACGCUGGACGCCGCUACUUUUAACUUUACUCUUGGAGCGUCUAACCAGGCGAAUCUCCGGUUGGUGGAACUUCAGCCAGGGUAUUAAUCCCCUUUCUAAACGUGUCCAAACUCCAGGUAUCUGAAACACAGUCUAGAGGCUGUCCCGCUCCCGAAUGUAGGUGGUCCUAGUUUUGACGGUUCUGUUUGUUCUUUUUGAAAGACAGUUGCAGUCAAGAAUAAAAACAUAAAAGUCUU